UACGGAGGGUGCAAGCGUUGUUCGGAAUUAUUGGGCGUAAAGGGGAGGUAGGUGGUCUCGCAUGUCAGGGGUGAAAUCCCGGAGCUUAACUCCGGAAGUGCCUCUGAAACUACGGGACUAGAGUUCUGGAGGGGGUCGCGGAAUUUCCGGUGUAGCGGUGAAAUGCGUAGAGAUCGGAAGGAACACCAGAGGCGAAGGCGGCGACCUGGACAGAUACUGACACUCAACUCCGAAAGCGUGGGUAGCAAACAGG
rnacentral:misc_RNA from 1 species